AUCAAAAAGUGUUGCCAUUUUGGUCAUUGCCGUUUCGACUUACUUAUUGCCAUUUUGUCCAGAAACCGGUUGAGAUCAAACCAGUCGUUGGAUUUUAUAUGGCAGCCAAUUCCAGCAGUCCAUAACAAGCUUGUUUUUGCUGUACCUACACUGUACAUUUUCAUCCUGAAUUAAUUUUGUAAUCACAUUUUAAAUCAGUAAGCUUCUGUGUUAACAUUUUUCACAGGUGCCUUUUUAUCAGGCAUUUAAACAAAGAGACAUGUACAAAUAGGCUAGAAUAGCAGUUUUUGGACCAGUUCUCUAAAUUUCAUCUGAUAUUGAGUGCACAAAGUUACCGAUACAAGUUUUAUACAUAUUUUACUGUAUGUACAAUAUAAACAAUAAACUAUCCUAUUGUGGGAGGCACAUUUAUAAACCAAAAAAUGGUAAAAUAUUUUGAUAAUAUUAUUAUACAGUGAAAGCAUUUCAUUUAUAUCAUGUUUUUGCACAGUACAUAAAUCAGAUAGUUUUUUUGCAGAACGUAGUAUCUGAUCAGUACAAGUAAAAAAGUAAUCAAUAAAAGUAAACAAUCAGUAAGUCUUAAUAUCUAAUACCUUAGUGUCCAAAUGAAAAGUCAAUAAAUAAUAAGCUUGACUUUUGUUUACUGGUCUAGGCAUCAAUACAAAUUUGUUUAGAUUGAAAAAUGAUACAUUGUCUUUAAAAAGUAGUCGAAAGUUUUAUAUGUUCCCAAUAUUGUUUUUUGAUUGAAGUGCAAUGUUAAUGCCCAAUAUUAUUAUUUUUUAAAUAUUGGAAUUUGACACAAAUGCCACAAUAACAAAACCUGUUUUACAAUUUAAUUUAGCAGAACUCAGAACAUUUUCUUACACAUUUAUUAGGCUGC